rnacentral:misc_RNA from 1 species
UCCGGCUUAACACCGGCAGUCUCCUUAGAGUGCCCAACUUAAUGGUGGCAACUAAGGAUAAGGGUUGCGCUCGUUAAGGGACUUAACCCGACAUCUCACGAUACGAGCUGACGACAGCCAUGCAGCACCUGUCUCCUGGCCCCCGAAGGGGAAACCCUACUUCUAGGGCUGUCCAGGGAUGUCAAAUCCAGGUAAGGUUUUUCGCGUUGCAUCGAAUUAAACCACAUGCUCCACCGCUUGUGCGGGCCCCCGUCAAUUCCUUUGAGUUUUAACCUUGCGGCCGUACUUCCCAGGCGGGGUACUUAAUGCGUUAGCGUCGACACUGCAGGGGUCAAUUCCCGCAACAUCUAGUACCCAUCGUUUACGGCGUGGACUAC